rnacentral:rRNA from 1 species
ACCUAUGACCAAUUCACCUUGAAAACACCAGAUCUUAUUGGAUCUCGGAAGCUAAGCAGCAUUGAGCCGGGGUCAAUAUUUGGAUUGGUGACUGCUUGAGAAUAACAGAUGUUGUGGGCU